UGUAGUGCAGGUCAGUCACGCGUACAGCACAGGUGGUCCAACAUAAAGAGGAGAGGGUGAGGGGUUACGAUCUUUUAAAACCCUAACUCAUAAGAGAAAAGAAGACAGUCAUUUGCGGCGUUUAUUCUUGGAGAUGUUAUGAAUAUGUGUGGCUGUCUUACUUUUGCAUAAUAAGAAAGUAUGGUGUUGAUGUACUGGAAUGGUUGACUUCAUCUCAGCUUAUUUUCACUGGAAUGAAAUUCUAUCACGCCUCCUCUUGGUUCAAAGAACUUUUCUGCAGAGUACUGGUUUCUUAUAUCGUAAUCUCAAGGAAUCUGGUUUCAUCCAAACAUGGGAAUGUGUUGCAGCUUUUGGAGUUUUGUAGAGUGUUUGGAAAGGUGUCAAAAUACAAGAUGAAACUGCUAGGGAAUUUCGUUCUCCUACUCCAAAUGGACGGUAGAUUGAACUCCCCGAGGAUGCUGUGGCCAGUUCUCCAAAGGGAACUGGAAAAUCUUGUCAUCAAUGCCGGCAAAAAAAGGAAAAUUUUGUUGCAACCUGCAAGAACUUCAAGAGAGGAAAACAUUAUACAAUUAAGUUCUGCAACAAGUGCCUCUUGACCAGGAGCUUGAAGUUUGUAACAAAGAAGAUGGUGGUGAUAAUGUUGGUGCCAUGUGCCAAGGAGAAGGAGAAGUAGAAAGGUUCCCAACAAUUGAGGAGGAAAUUCUUUUACCCCCUGGCAUGGAAUUAAAACAAAUAUUUGGCAUCAGAGUUACCACUCAAAGAUGUUGGGGAUGCGUUGCAGUUUUUAGAAUUUUGUAGAGUGUUUGGAAAGGUUCUUGAUCUCAUGGAAGGAGAAGCUGAAGUCAUUUUAAAAGAAUUGGUUAGUAAAGGACAUAACUCCUUGCUAAUUGAAUUUCACAGUAGACUCUUGGCUUUGAUCCUAAGCGAAUCAGGAAAGGAGAAACUGAGGAGAUAUAUUAAAGAUGAAAACUCAAGAUAUGCAAAAGGAGUGAAAGAAGCAAAACUUAAGAUUGAUGCAAUUAAGGAAAAGAUAAAGUGUCUUGAACGGAAGUUGCGGAAUGAGAAGGCAAAAGUUGUUUCUUCAACUGUGUCUCCCUUUCCAAUGGAGGAAAAAAUAAGAACCGAGGUUGAUGAAGCACACGCUAACAUGCUCAGAUAUCAAAAUAGAGGAUGAAACUGCAACUUCACCUGAAGAAAGUUGGUCUGUUUAUAGUCCUGCAGAGAUAUCAAAAUAUAUUUCCUCAAGGACCAAAAGACUUAAGAGCCGCAAGGUUUCUCACAGUAAAUCAAGUUCGCAUGACUUUUGAGCAUAAAUCUUCUUUCGGUGAUGGAGUAUUGGUUUUGGUGGAAAUCUUUCUCUGACGGUCCUUUUUAUCGAGGCUGCACAUGGGUUAUUUUAUUGUAUCAAUGAAUAUAACUUUUUUGUAUUUUUUUUAGUGGAACACAAAAUGAAAUGAUUUUUUUUG